CACGUAGGGCGCGAGCGUUGUCCGGAAUUAUUGGGCGUAAAGAGCUUGUAGGCGGUUUGUCGCGUCUGCCGUGAAAAUUCGAGGCUCAACCUCGAACUUGCGGUGGGUACGGGCAGACUAGAGUGUGGUAGGGGAGACUGGAAUUCCUGGUGUAGCGGUGAAAUGCGCAGAUAUCAGGAGGAACACCGAUGGCGAAGGCAGGUCUCUGGGCCACUACUGACGCUGAGAAGCGAAAGCAUGGGGAGCGAACAGG
rnacentral:rRNA from 1 species